AUUGAACGCUGGCGGCAGGCCUAACACAUGCAAGUCGAACGAGUGGCGGACGGGUGAGUAAUGUCUGUGACACUGCCCGAUGGAGGGGGAUAACUACUGGAAACGGUACCUAAUACCGCAUACCAUCGGAUGUGCCCAGAUGGGAUUAGCUAGUGGGUGGGGUAACGGCUAACCGAGGCGACGAUCCCUUGCUGGUCUGAGAGGAUGACCAGUCACACUGGAACUGAGACACGGUCCAGACUCCUACGGGAGGCAGCAGUGGGGAAUAUUGAACAAUGGGCGCAAGCCUGAUGCAGCCAUGCCGCGUGUAUGAAGAAGGCCUUCGGGUUGUAAAGUACUUUCAGUGAGGAGGCGUUACUCGCAGAAGAAGCACCGGCUAACUCCGUGCCAGCAGCCGCGGUAAUAC
rnacentral:rRNA from 1 species